CGGAAUGUAGCUUAGUCAGAUAAAGCGCUCGGUUUGGGACCGAGAGAUCGUAGGUUUGAGUCCUACUAUUCCGACCA
rnacentral:tRNA from 1 species